AUUGAACGCUGGCGGCAGGCCUAACACAUGCAAGUCGAGCGGAGCGGCGGACGGGUGAGUAAUGCCUAGGAAUCUGCCUGGUAGUGGGGGCUAACGUCCGGAAACGGGCGCUAAUACCGCAUACUAUCAGAUGAGCCUAGGUCGGAUUAGCUCGUUGGUGGGGGAAAGGCCUACCAAGGCGACGAUCCGUAACUGGUCUGAGAGGAUGAUAAGGCAGACGGGAACGGAGACACGGUCCAGACUCAUACGGGAGGCAGCAGUGGGGAAUAGUGGAAAAUGGGCGAAAGCCUGAGCCAGCUAGGACGCGGGUGUGAAGAAGGUCUUCGGAUUGUAAAGCACUUUAAGUUGGGAGGCGUUACCAACAGAAUAAGCACAGGCUAACUUCGUGCCAGCAGCCGCGGUAAUAC
rnacentral:rRNA from 1 species